rnacentral:tRNA from 2 species
UGCCCUAUGGUAUAAUGGUAGCACAACAGGUUUUGGUCUUGUUAGCGAAGGUUCGAUUCCUUCUGGGGCGACAA